rnacentral:rRNA from 1 species
AUGCACGCUGGCGGCGUGCUUAACACCUGCAAGUCGCACGGAAAGGCUCCUGCUUGCAGGGGCACUCGAGUGGCGAACGGGUGAGUAACACGUGGGUGAUCUGCCCUGCACUUCGGGAUAAGCCUGGGAAACUGGGUCUAAUACCGGAUAGGACCAUCGUUUAGUGUCGGUGGUGGAAAGUUUUUUCGGUGUGGGAUGAGCUCGCGGCCUAUCAGCUUGUUGGUGGGGUAAUGGCCUACCAAGGCGUCGACGGGUAGCCGGCCUGAGAGGGUGUACGGCCACAUUGGGACUGAGAUACGGCCCAGACUCCUACGGGAGGCAGCAGUGGGGAAUAUUGCACAAUGGGCGCAAGCCUGAUGCAGCGACGCCGCGUGGGGGAUGACGGCCUUCGGGUUGUAAACUCCUUUCGCCAGGGACGAAGCGAAAGUGACGGUACCUGGAUAAGAAGCACCGGCUAACUACGUG